rnacentral:lncRNA from 1 species
UCUGUUAAAUAUUAACUCCCAUUCCUCCCAUUUCUCUAUAUCCCUCAUCUCAACAAAAGGAAAAUCUACAAAAGAGGGAACAGUUAUGGGUAGAUUUGUGGUGAGGUAAUAAAGGACUUCUCAUAAUGACUUCUAUUUUCUCAAAAUACAUGAAUUUACAUCAUCACUUGAGAGUAAGAAUUAUGGAGAGCAGGAAUGCAAGGUUUGAAGAGAGUAGAGAAAUUUUAAAAUUUCCAUCUGGAGGAUAGGAGGUAAUCUGCCUGGAGAAGCACUGUCAGAUGUCAGAGCAGUAUUGAGUAUGCACGUGAGUUCUUCAAGAUCAUCGAAAUGUGUUCACAGACAUUGUCUCAGCUGGCUUGGGAUGUGAGGAAAAGCCAUGUAAGGAAGAUAAAUGAGUGGCAUUAGAGCGAAUCUACAGACAAAGAGGCAGAGACUCAGAGUGUUUAAAUUGCUUUUCUGAUGUCACACAGCCCUUAAGAGGAAAAACCAGGAAGAGGGGUUGGUUUCUGUGACUGCUAUU